GACAGAGGGUGCAAGCGUUGUUCGGAAUCACUGGGCGUAAAGCGCGCGUAGGCGGCUGAGUAAGUCAGAUGUGAAAGCCCAGGGCUCAACCCUGGAACGGCAUCUGAAACUGCUUAGCUUGAGUCCCGGAGAGGGUGGUGGAAUUCCUGGUGUAGAGGUGAAAUUCGUAGAUAUCAGGAGGAACACCGGUGGCGAAGGCGACCACCUGGACGGUGACUGACGCUGAGGUGCGAAAGCGUGGGUAGCGAACAGG
rnacentral:misc_RNA from 1 species